AUUCGCGGCCUAUCAGCUUGUUGGUGGGGUAAUGGCCUACCAAGGCGAGGACGGGUAGCCGGCCUGAGAGGGCGACCGGCCACACUGGGACUGAGACACGGCCCAGACUCCUACGGGAGGCAGCAGUGGGGAAUAUUGCACAAUGGGCGGAAGCCUGAUGCAGCGACGCCGCGUGAGGGAUGACGGCCUUCGGGUUGUAAACCUCUUUCAGCAGGGACGAAGCGAGAGUGACGGUACCUGCAGAAGAAGCACCGGCCAACUACGUGCCAGCAGCCGCGGUAAGACGUAGGGUGCGAGCGUUGUCCGGAUUUAUUGGGCGUAAAGAGCUCGUAGGCGGCUUGUCGCGUCGAAUGUGAAAUCCCGUGGCUCAACUGCGGGUCUGCAUUCGAUACGGGCAGGCUAGAGUUCGGUAGGGGAGACUGGAAUUCCUGGUGUAGCGGUGAAAUGCGCAGAUAUCAGGAGGAACACCGGUGGCGAAGGCGGGUCUCUGGGCCGAUACUGACGCUGAGGAGCGAAAGCGUGGGGAGCGAACAGGAUUAGAUACCCUGGUAGUCCACGCUGUAAACGUUGGGCACUAGGUGUGGGGGACCUCUCCGGUUCUCUGUACCGCAGCUAACGCAUUAAGUGCCCCGCCUGGGGAGUACGGAAU
rnacentral:rRNA from 1 species